GUCUAAACCAGAGGGCUCCUCUCAUUUUCUUUCAGUAACAACUGCUCUGAAAAGAAGGUAUUUUUCAACCUGGACUUGAAGUAACUAGUGGAGAGGCAGGAUACCUCCCUCAACAAUGGAUAUUUCUAGGGAGCAUCAUAGAGGAGAUUCCAGCUCUACUCCUUCUUGCUGAGGUCAAAGUAGAAGC